UUUUUUCUUUUUCUUUUUUUCUUUUGCGUGUAGCCAUAUGCCAUGGAGCUCCAGAUGAAGAGGUGCUAGCACGCCAUAUUGCGGCGCACUGCCACGUAAAAGGUGUUAUCCAGGCCAGACUCUAAGGGUUAUCCUUCUGAGUGUAGAGGCACUUUUAAAAAAGGAGUGCUUUCCUUCUCGGUCUUGUAGAGUGACAUAUGUUAAUGAACGGGGCGGAAGAGAGUCAAUUAAAGGAAGCCGGGGCCUCGCUCAGCGGAGUCAGCUCUCAGGUGGUCCUUGCUUGGAGCCAGAUUGGGAGCAGCUGUGUAGUUCUUUCCUGACAAAAUCCUGACCCUCUGCACAUUGAAGAGUCUGCUUUUCAACAGAUUGCUGCAAUAAUGGAAAAUGGAAUGGGCAUAAUUUUCCCGUUUUCCUGUAGCUAUUGCACUUUAUUUUGUGCAUCCUUUUUGGCUAUGCUUAUUGCAUAACUUGUCUCACAAAAGUUAAAAAUUGACAUUAUUACAAAAAAUUAUAGGACAUAGUAUAUUAUAUGUAUUACUGGAAUUAAUCUUUGAAUGAGAAAGGAAUGAAGAUUUCCCCUCUCUCCGCUUUUGCAACCAUGCCGAGAGAAGCUGGACAGAAAAAAGAUUGGAAUGAGCAUUGAUCCAUCUAAUGAAAGUCAUAAAGUGCAAGAAACAAUGUCAGUAUCUUGGUCAUUUUUUUUUCCUGUAGAUAACUUGAAGCUAAAUUGAUCAGUUUUUCUUCCCUGUAAAAUGAGGAUAAUAAUAGUGUCUUUCUUAUAGGGUUGUGUUGAGGAUUAAACAAAUUAGCAGACAGUGCUUAGGACAGUGCCUAGAAUGGAAUAAUCUAAAUGCUAGUUAUUGUGAUAGGCAUUUUAAUUCUUACAUCAUUUCUUAUUCCAUCUCUGAGUACAUUUGGAGACAUCAGCAUUUUUGAGAAACUCUCAUAUUUUUCUUCUCUUUGAACAUUGGUUCCACUUGUUCUUAGAGGAAAAAGUUACCACAACCCCCAUCUCACCAUAAAACAAAACAGCAACAUUACUACAAAUUAUAUUUUGAUUUGGAUCAGAGCUAGACAUUAUAUUGCUUUUUUUUCUUUUUUCUUUUUUUUUUUGAGAUGGAGUCUUACUCGGUCACCCAGUGCAGUGGUGCAAUCUCGGCUCACUGCAACCUCUGCCUCCCAGGUUCAAGCGAUUCUUCUGCCUCAGCCUCCUGAGUAGCUGGGAUUACAGGCACGUGUCACCACACCUGGCUAAUUUUUGUAUUUUUACUAGAGACGGGGUUUCACCAUGUUGGCCAGGCUGGUCUUGAACUCCUGACCUCGUGAUCCACCCACCUCAGCCUCCCAAAGUGCUGGGAUUACAGACAUGAGAAACCGCUCCCGGCCUCUCUUUUUUUUAGACAGGUUCUCGCUCUGUAGCCCAGGCUGGAGUACAGUGGCAUGAUCUCAGCUCACUGCGACCUCUGCCUCCUGGGUUCAAGUGAUUCUCCUGCCUCAGCCUUCCGAGUAGCUAGGAUUACAGGCAUGCACCACCAUACCCAGCUAAUUUUUGUAUGUUUGGUAGAGACAGGGUUUUGCCAUGUUGGCCAGGCUAGUCUGAAACUCCUGACCUCAAGUGAUCCACCUGACUCGGCCUCCCAGAGUGCUGGGAUUACAGGUGUGAGCCACUGUGCCUGAUCUGCUUUCUUUUCUUUAAUAAAUACAGUAAUGCUUUCUUUAAGUGUAUUUGCUCAUAGAAAGAUAUUUUGGAAGAGAAAAUGGGUCCUGGAAAGUUAGAGUUGGAGAGUACCUUUUAUUCAUUCAUUCAACUGCCAGGUACUGUUCCCUUAGCUGAGAAGACAGAAAUGGGCAAGCAGAUGUGGCUCCUGCCCUUAGGGAGCUUUCCUUAUUGGGGGAAGAUAGGCAAGAAACAUGCAAAGACAAUUUCAAUUUUAUAAAUAUGUGUCACAAGAAAACAAGAACAAAACUGUAUCUCAUUGAUAAAGAGGGACUUGGGGUAGUGGCAUGCACCUGUGGUCCCAGCUCCAUGGGAGGCUGAGUGGGGAGGACUGCUUGAGCCUAGGAUUUCUGGGCUGUAGUGCGCUAUGUCCAUUGGAUGUCCACACUAAAUUCAGCAUCAAUAUGGUGACCUCAUGUGAGCGGAGACUACCCAGUUGCCUAAGGAGUGGUGAACCAGCCCAAGUUGGAGACGGAGCAGGUUAAAACUCUUGUGCUGAUCAGUAGUGGGAUUGAAUCUGUGACUAGCCACUGCACUCUAGCUGGGCAACAUAGUAAAACCCUGUCUCUUAAAAAAAAAUUAUAUAUAUAUAUAUAUAUAUAUAUGGGGAGGGGUAGGGGAGGGCUGCUUAAAGUCACAUGGUCUUGUAAGACUUCUCUAAGGAGGUAACAUUUGAGGUCAGAAUGGUCAGGGGAAGGAAUCAACCCUGGGAAGACCUGGGGGAAGAGCAUUCAAAUUAGAAGGAACAACGAUUCCAUAUCCUAACACAGAGUCCAGGUUGCUGUGUUUGAGGGACUGAAAGGCCAAGGGGGAUAAAAGGAUAAACUGAGGCUGGUGUGGGAGGCAGGGCCAAGGUCUUGUAGGGCUCCUGUUAUAGUAAGGAAUUUGUUUUUUGUGUUUUUUUUAGACAGAGUCUUGCUCUGUCACCCAGGCUGAAGUGUAGUGGUGUGAUCUCGGCUCACUGCAACCUGUGCCUCCCGGGUUCAAGCGAUACUCCUACCUCAGCCCCCCAAGUAUGGUGGUGCAUGGCUGUAGCUGGGACUACAGGCAUGCACCACCAUGCCUGGCUAAUUUUGUAUUUUUAGUGGAGAUGGGGUUUCACCAUGUUGGCCAGGCUGGUCUCGAACUCCUGACCUCCGGUGAUCCGCCCGCCUCAGCCUCCCAAAGUGCUGGGAUUAUAGGCGUGAGCCACCAUGUCCGGCCAUAGUAAAGAAUUUGGAUUUUGUUCUAGGUGGAAUGUGAAGCUAUUUGAGGGCUUCAAGGAGGAGAUCAUGACCUAAUUUGCAUUUGAAAUUGGUCUAGUUGCUGAACAGAGAAUGAAUUACAGUAAGGGGCAAAGAGUGGAACCAGGGAGUGGGGUCAGGAACCUGUUGCACUGGUCCUGGUAAGAGAGACGAUGGGGGCUAGGGUCAUCAUGCAGGAGAGAAUGGUCACUUUGGAGACAUGUUGUGGACAUGGAAUCAACAUGACAUGCUGAUGGCUGGGUGUUGGGUGGAGAGAAGGAGAAGAUUCAAGGAUGACCCUUGCAUUUUUGGCUUCAACAACUGGAUCAACUCUGAGUUCAUCUAGUCUAGUUCCCCAAUUUGAAUUCGAUGAACCACUAACAGGACAAAAUUGGUGUAGUCAGCAUAUUGAUGCUAUUGUUUCUUUUGUCAAGUCAGUUUAUUACAAAAGCAAUAGCUAUCAUCAUUUCCUGCCACCAUCAUUUCCUAGAAGAGAGGAUACUCUACCAAUGAAAAAGUAGGAAAGGUUAAUUUUGAAUAAUCUUAGAAUUAAGAGAAAUCCUUUCAAUUCAAUCAAGUGAGUUCUAGGGAAAACUCAUGACUUUGUUCUUUGUUCUUUAUUUUUUUAUUGUUUUGUCAUUGAUCAGUAGAAAUGUUGUCAUACCUGGACAGGUACUUGGGAACCAUUGGUCUAUUUGAUCCUUCUAAUCCAGGCAGAACAAUGAUCUUCCAGCUUCUCCAUGAAUACUCUCCAUGAAGGGGUACAUCUCGCUAGGUAGCCCAUUCUGUUGUGAAAGAGUCCUAAUUAAUAAAUUAAUACAUGGUCCCCUGCCACCUCCAUGUCCUUGCAUUGCCCUCUGGAUGUACAAGGAGUAACGCUAAUCUCUGGCAUCACAGUCUUUCUUUCUUUUUUUUUUUUUUUUUGAGACCUCCGUCUGUCUGUCUGACCUCUGUUGCCCAGGCUGGAGUGCAGUGGCACAGUCUUGGCUCACUGCAAUCUCCACCUCCCGGGCUCAAGAGAUUCUUCUGCCUAGCCUCUUGAGUAGCUAGGACUACAGGCACGUGCCACCAUGCCCGGCUAAUUUUUGUAUUUUUAAUAGAGACGGGGUUUCACCAUAUUGGUCAGGCUGGUCUUGAACUCCUGACCUCGUGAUCCGCCUGCCUCGGCCUCCCAAAGUGCUGAGAUUACAGGCGUGAGCCACUGUACCUGGCCUCACAGUCUUUCAAACCUACGAAGAGGUCAGUCAUGUCCGCCUUCUGAAAGGGCAAACAUUUCUAGCUCUUUUAACCAAUAAUUCUCCCUUGAUACAAAUUCAGAAUAUAUAGAUAACAUGGUGUACUAGUUCGUUCUCGCAUUGCUAUAAGAAACUACCUGAGACUGGGUAAUUUAUUAAGAAAAGAGGUUUAAUUGACUCACAGUUCUGCAGGCUGUACAGGAAGCAUGGCUGGGGAGGCCUCAGGAAACUUACAGUCAUGGUGAAAGGCGAAGGGGAAGCAGACAGAGACACAUCUUCACAUGGUGGAGCAGGAGAGAGAGAGAGAGAGAAAGAGGAAGUGCUACACACUUUUUUUGUUUGUUUGUUUAUUUUUUGAGACAGAGUCUCACUCUGUCACCCAGGCUGGAGUGCAGUGGCAUGAUCUUGGCUCACUGCAACCUCCACCUCCCGGGUUCAAGUGAUCUCCUGCUCACUGCGACCUCACUGCAAAGGAUUUAAAGGCUGGAUACCUGGAUAUUUAUUCUGGAAUUGAGGGAGGAUGAGGAAUUUGACUGCACACAGAGGUCUUGAUCUCAUAACCCUCUAGAAUAUUAACAUCAUUUGUUUAAGAGAGACCUGGAUUUAGAGGACAAAUUAGUUCAUGUUCAAAGCUUUAGGGCUUAAAAAAAAAUCUGGCCCUGCUCAUUGUGAUGAAUGUCAGAGCGACUAUUUCUGACUUAACAGGCAUGUAAUUUAGAACUCAUAUUUAUGAAGCACCUGACAUGGUGUCUUGCUACUUGGUGAAGGUUUAUUUCUUUUUCCUUACUCCCUUCCUGACUUCUUUUCCUCCUUCCUUUCUUCAUUCUUCUGAUUUGAAUCUGUUAAGAGAACACUGCUAGGCGUCGUUAAAUAUCUGAAGCAUGUCAG
rnacentral:lncRNA from 1 species